ensembl:lncRNA uncharacterized LOC100739062
GCCCCAGGGGCGCCUGGGAAAUAUCCUGUGCGCGUCUCUAUUAUGAUCGAGUGUAAAUGAGGGCCGCCGGCAGGCUGGAAACUAGCUACUGCGGUAGCAGUUGCUCUCUGAAGCCGCAAGGUAGGGGCGAUCGGCUGCCGCUGCCAGGAGAGCGGACGAUGCGGAGCUGCCCUGCAGCAUACGGAGUUCCAGGGCCAAGAGAUCAGAUUGGAGCCGCAGUUGCAACAGCAGAUCCUUAACCCACUGUGCCAGCCCGAGGAUCAAACCUGUGUUCCAGCACCCCAGAGACUCCACCAAGCACAACAACAGGAACAUCGUCCCUAAACAACUUUAAAUCAGCAGCCAUAUUUUUAUGAGUCUAGCCAGGAAUCCAGGUACUAAAUGCACAAAGCUGGAAACCAGAUCCCUGAGCAAUCAUCUAAGAAGUCUGAUCACCUGAAUAGACCACAUGGAGAGACUGUGGGAGCACAUGAAGAGAGGUGGGCAGGGGGAACCCAGCUGCAUCCAACAAUCCAGAAAUCCCUAUCAAGAUGCUAGACAUGAAGGAAACCAUCUUGGAUCCACCAGAUCAACCUAGCCACCAGCUGGAUACCACUGAGAGAUGCCAGUGGAGCAGAAUUGUCCAAUAAGCCUUGCCCAAAUUUCUCACCCACACAAUCAUGAGUAUAAUAAAAUGAUUAUUGUUUU